GUGAGUAAUCUGCCCUGGCUUUGGGAUAGCCACCGGAAACGGUGAUUAAUACCGGAUAUGACCGCUUCACGCAUGUGUUGUGGUGGAAAGUUUUUCGGCCAGGGAUGUGCUCGCGGCCUAUCAGCUUGAUGGUGAGGUAAUGGCUCACCAUGGCUUCGACGGGUAGCCGGCCUGAGAGGGUGACCGGUCACACUGGGACUGAGACACGGCCCAGACUCCUACGGGAGGCAGCAGUGGGGAAUAUUGGACAAUGGGCGGAAGCCUGAUCCAGCAACGCCGCGUGAGGGAUGACGGCCUUCGGGUUGUAAACCUCUUUCGGUGGGGACGAAGCGCAAGUGACGGUACCCACUAAAGAAGCACCGGCCAACUACGUGCCAGCAGCCGCGGUAAUACGUAGGGUGCGAGCGUUGUCCGGAAUUAUUGGGCGUAAAGGGCUCGUAGGCGGUUUGUCGCGUCGGGAGUGAAAACGCCGUGCUUAACACGGCGCUUGCUUUCGAUACGGGCAGACUAGAGGUAUUCAGGGGAGAACGGAAUUCCUGGUGUAGCGGUGAAAUGCGCAGAUAUCAG
rnacentral:rRNA from 1 species